GCCUCGGUAGUGUGGUGACAGCACGCGUCCUAGGUAUGGAUGGAACGCGGGUUCGAUUCCCGUCUGGGGGUG